CAAAGUAGAAGUAUUCUCUCUCCUCUCUGUUUACUUUGUUGUCGCCUUUCCGACGUUGCUUUCGGUGGGACUGGGUUUGCAGAACUAGAUCACUUGGGCGCGGUUCUAUGAUUCGCCGAUCCCCUCUCUCCGCCGCCGACUCCAUCCUUGUCGUCUAUGGUGGUGGCGCCGGAGAAUCCUGUCAGCGGAGAGCUGCCGACGGCCGGCUUCGUGCCGGGAUCGGCCGCGGUGGCGGCAUGCGCUGCCAUGGCCGUCUUCUACGUUGCGAUCCUCUACUCCCCGACUCUCAUCCUCCGUUUCCCUCCCCCGAGCUCCCUCGAGAGCUUCAUGAUCCGGAGGUUCGCCUGCGCCGUGGUUUCCUCUGCCGUCUCCGUCCUCGCCUCCGCCGUUCUCCUCGGAUUUGGGAGAUUCCAGGAUUUGCCAUCAGUCUUGGGUGUAUUUGGCAUUAGAAAGGACCACUUGUGGCAAGCUGUGGUCUUUCCUCUUUUGUUGACAUCCCUACUGUAUGCUGGAUCACUGGUAAAGAAGUCCUGGUCACUGAUUAGUCCAUGUGGAGGAGUCAGGCCCAAUUCUUGCUGUGGAGUCCGUUCUUAUGAUUGUGCUAGAGGCUAUGCUCAAAGAUGCCUUGACUGGACAAGCAGUUGUGCUCGUAAUGUUAUGGUCUGGCGAAACUAUGUGGUGGCACCAUUUACAGAAGAGUUGGUUUUCAGGGCAUGUAUGAUUCCUCUGCUUCUUUGCGGUGGAUUUAAAACUCAUAGCAUCAUAUUUAUUAGCCCAGUUUUCUUCAGCUUGGCACACCUAAACCAUUUCCUGGAGCUUUAUUUUCAACAGAAGUAUAGCUUUGUGAAAGCUUUCCUGAUUGUAGGUCUCCAGCUUGGUUAUACUGUGAUUUUUGGCUGGUAUGCAUCUUUUCUCUUCAUCCGGACAGAUGAUUUGCCAAAACCUCAAUAUUCCAUAGCCUGAAUACCAAGCCUCUCAGGGAACCUGAUAUCUCCUAUCGUGGCUCAUAUAUUUUGUAAUAUAAUGGGGUUGCCUCUUUUGUCUUCUUCGAGGACAAAAGGGGUGGCAACUAUGGCAUUUGCAGCUGGCUUGGCAGGUUUCUGUUGGCUUUUGUUUCCUGCUACAAGUCCGGAUCUAUACAAUGAUCAGAGAGAUGGCUGUAGCUGUUGGCAGGGCUAUUGCAGUUGGAACUAACUAGAGCUUCACGGUAGAGUUGAAGAAUGACCUGAUGAGAAGGAUAUCAUAAUUCUUUGGCAUAAAGGGUGACGAAAGAUUUUCUCCUUGCUGCUGCUUUCCUGUCUAACGUUUGCCAGUUUUUUAUCAGCAUGUAAUUAGAUGGAGAGCUGGUUCAAUUAUGAUUAAAAGCAGCUAAAACAAUCAAACUUUUUGAUUGAUGUGAGCAAAGCUUAAGGGGCAUCAAUCAGGGGGAAUUUUUUUCUUUUGAACUUCUCUUUGUAAUUUAGCAAACAAUGCUUCAAUGAAAUUGAUGCAAUUUCUCUAA